rnacentral:rRNA from 1 species
UACGUAGGGUGCAAGCGUUGUCCGGAAUUAUUGGGCGUAAAGAGCUCGUAGGCGGUCUGUCGCGUCGGCUGUGAAAACUCGGGGCUCAACCCCGAGCCUGCAGUCGAUACGGGCAGACUAGAGUGCGGUAGGGGAGACUGGAAUUCCUGGUGUAGCGGUGAAAUGCGCAGAUAUCAGGAGGAACACCGGUGGCGAAGGCGGCCAGCUGGCUCUGACCUGACGCUGAGGCGCGAAGGCGUGGGGAGCGAACGGG